GAUGAACGCUGGCGGCGUGCCUAAUACAUGCAAGUCGAACGCACAGCGAAAGGUGCUUGCACCUUUCAAGUGAGUGGCGAACGGGUGAGUAACACGUGGAUAACCUACCUCAAGGUUGGGGAUAACAUUUGGAAACAGAUGCUAAUACCGAAUAGAACUUCGUAUCGCAUGAUACAAGGUUAAAAGGCGCUACGGCGUCACCUAGAGAUGGAUCCGCGGUGCAUUAGUUAGUUGGUGGGUAAAGGCUACCAAGACAAUGAUGCAUAGCCGAGUUGAGAGACUGAUCGGCCACAUUGGGACUGAGACACGGCCCAAACUCCUACGGGAGGCUGCAGUAGGGAAUCUUCCACAAUGGGCGAAA
rnacentral:rRNA from 1 species